AGACUUACUUGGCAGAGGCAAUCCCAUGAUCACAGAAUGCUUUUCUCAGGGUGCAGCUUAUCCAUUGCUUUCUGAACAUGCUGACCCCUGUAAUUUUGCCAAAUGUGGGCAAACCCAUCAUUGUUGUCCUGGGGGACUGUGUUUACACUCUACCCUG
rnacentral:snRNA from 11 species